rnacentral:rRNA from 1 species
CUACGGGGCGCUACAGUGAGGAAUUUUGCGCAAUGGGCGAAAGCCUGACGCAGCAACGCCGCGUGAGUGAUGAAGGCCUUCGGGUCGUAAAGCUCUGUCAAGUGGGAAGAACCUAUGUAAUGUUAAUAUCAUUAUAUACUGACGGUACCACUGAAGGAAGCACCGGCUAACUCCGUGCCAGCAGCCGCGGUAAUACGGGGGGUGCAAGCGUUAUUCGGAAUCAUUGGGCGUAAAGGGCACGUAGGCGGCCUGGUAAGUCAGAUGUGAAAGCCCGGUGCUUAACCCCGGAAGUGCAUUUGAUACUGUCAGGCUUGAGUAUGGGAGAGGGAAGUGGAAUUCCUGGUGUAGAGGUGAAAUUCGUAGAUAUCAGGAGGAACACCGGUGGCGAAGGCGACUUCCUGGACCAAUACUGACGCUGAGGUGCGAAGGCGUGGGUAGCAAACAGGAUUAGAUACCCCCGUAGUC